rnacentral:rRNA from 1 species
GAUGAACGCUGGCGGCGUGCCUAACACAUGCAAGUCGAGCGGACGGACGCGAAUCUUGCUUCUCUGAUGUUAGCGGAGGAGGGGGGAGUAACACGUGGAUACCCUACCUAUCAGACUGGGAUAACCUCGGAACACCGGCGCUCAUACCGGAUAAUGUUUUGAACCGCAGGGUUCAAAAGUGAAAGACGGUCUUGCUGUCACUUAUAGCUGGAUCCGAGCUGCAUUAGCUAGUUGGUAAGGUAACGGCUUUCCAAGGCAGCGAUGCGUAGCCGAGCUGAGAGGGUGGUAGGGCACAUGGGAAGGGAGACACGGCCGAGACUCCUGCGGGAGGCAGCAGUAGGGAAUCUUACGCAAUGGGGGAGAGGCUGACGGAGCAACGCCGCGUGAGUGAUGAAGGUCUCCGGAUCGGAAAGCUCUGUUAGUAGGGGAGAACAUAUGUGUAAGUAACUGUGCAGAUAGUGACGGUACCUGAUCAAAAAGCCCCGGCUAACUACGUG